rnacentral:lncRNA from 12 species
CUCAAUCUAGAAUUAAGGAUGGUUAGGAAAGCAAAAAGAAUGGAAGAAAGUGCUUUAGACUCUGUGAGCAAAAUAAUGAGUUGCACUUAGGGUAACUGCUGGUCAGUCUUACCCUUUCAACUUUUUAACAUCUCACCGUAAAGCUGAGUCUAAAAGGAAACUUCUCUUCAACUCAUCAGAUAGGGGCAAGACCUGUUUGUAUUUGCCACCUCUCUCAACCCUACAUUCACUGAGGGAAAAACUUUUGGUUUGUACCACCAGACUUGAGUCAGGUUAGAGGCAGAAAGGAAGAAGAAAUGGGACACUGUUGAAGAGGGUUGGGGAGAGGAAUAUCGAGAGACUGUGAAAAAAGGAAAGAAAUCACAGAGGAGGCCUCCUUUAUGCCUCUCUGAGGUGGGCUCAGUAUGGAUGAAUAGGAGACAGAAGGAGGAACUAAUGGGCUGUUUCCACGAUUCCCAGGAUUUGGUGCACGACCGUCUAAUGAUAAGACCCUUCUAGUGACAGACUUCCUGCCUAGCUUGGGUUGUAAUAUCUUAUAAAAUACUUCCAGAUAUAAUGAGGUAUCCACGGAGACUGCAGGAGGAAUAGCUGAAUGCAUAAGCAACGCCAUAAGAAGUCUGAUGGGAGGCACAGCCUGCAGUAAAUGAAGUGAAGCAAUAUCCUUACCACACAGCAGAGCUGAGGUGACAAGCUGAUGGUAUCUGUGGCCUUUGGAAAAAGCACAUAUCAUAGCUGCUGCCCUACUUGAUGAGCCCUAUUCCACCCUCCCACACCCGAUCCUCAUUCUGGCAUGACAUCAGCUCUGCUUCCAGCCCCAAGUAUCAUCUUCUGCCCACCUGUUCCUGCAGCUCUAUGUGAACUUUGGUUUCAAGUUAGCAUCUCAACAUCCAUUUGGCAAAGACUUUUGGAAGGGGCUGUUAUGUACCACCCUGGAUCUAGCAUCAGGGAUCAAAUGAUUGUUUUCACGCAUAUUGUAAAAUUGAGAGCAAGAAGGAAAAUCAUAACAAAGAGAAUGUUCAAAGGAAUUAAUAUUAAUUAAGCACCCACCAUGUGCCAAGCACCAUGCUCGGUACUUUCCUCGCAAGAAUCCUACAGAUUUGAUAUUGGAAACUCCAUUUGACUGAUAAUGAACCUGAGUUUGAAAGAAAUUAAGUGACACUUUUUUGGUUUUAUUUUCAUCAGAGAACUUAUGAAUAUAUGAAAUACAUUUUUCUGUUUGUGGGCUUGCUUUGCUGCCUAUUUGCCUUACUCUAAGGCGAGUACAACCUGAGAUUGGAUCCUGCUAUUUUCUUCAAUAUUUCAUGCCCAGUUCCAAAAACAUUGCCUGGCAAAUACACUAGGUAACAAAAAUAUUUCUUGAAUGUGUGACUCAAUUGUUUAAUCAAUGAGUGAGUAAAUAAAAAUUGCACGGAG